rnacentral:rRNA from 1 species
UCAUCGAGUCUUUGACGCACAUUGCGCCUUUUGGUAUUCCGAGAGGCACGCCUGUCUGAGCGGCAGUAAAACCCUUCGGUUUGACGAUUUAUUGUCUCGCCGGCGUUGGCGGUUUUUGGGGGUUCGUCCCCCGAUUCCGUUUAAACACUGACACGCGGAGAUUAAGGUGUUAAAGGAUUAACCCCUCAUCGAUUAGUAGAAAUAUUUAUCUUUGAAGAUUAUGACUUUAAAACCCCACCCGCUAUACAAAAUAGGGAGCUUCUUUUUUGAGCGCCCGACCUUGAAUUUUGACCUCAGAUCAGACGAGGAUACCCGCCGAACUUAAGCAUAUCAAUAAGCGGAGGAAAAGAAACCAACAGGGAUUGCCUCAGUAGCGGCGAGUGAAGCGGCAAAAGCUCAGAUUUGAAAUCCGACGUCUUUCGGCGUCCGAGUUGUAAUCUGGAGAGGAUGCUCCGGUGAAGCCGACCGCCCAAGUUCCUUGGAACAGGACGCCUUAGAGGGUGAGAGCCCCGUACCCGGCGGACCGGCUGAGCCAUGUGGUGCUCCCUCGACGAGUCGAGUUGUUUGGGAAUGCAGCUCAAACUGGGUGGUAAAUUCCAUCUAAAGCUAAAUACCGGCGGGAGACCGAUAGCGCACAAGUAGAGUGAUCGAAAGAUGAAAAGCACUUUGAAAAGAGAGUUAAAAAGUACGUGAAAUUGUUGAAAGGGAAGCGCUUGCCAUCAGAACCGGCGCCGGUCGAUCAACGUUCCUUCUGGUUCGUGCACUCGGCCGGCUGCCGUGCCAGCAUCGGUCGCCGCGGCGGGACAAAGGCGGGGGGAAAGUGGCUCCCUUCGGGGAGUGUUAUAGCCCCUUGUGUAAUGCCGCCAG